rnacentral:tRNA from 1 species
GGUGGGAUGGCCGAGCGGUUUAAGGCGGCGGUCUUGAAAACCGUUGAGCGAGAGCUCCGGGGGUUCGAAUCCCUCUCCCACCGCCA